CAACCUGCCGCUUACUCGGGGAUAGCCUUUCGAAAGAAAGAUUAAUACCCGAUGGUAUAAAGAGUUCGCAUGUUCUCUUUGUUAAAGAAUUUCGGUAAGCGAUGGGGAUGCGUUCCAUUAGAUUGUUGGCGGGGUAACGGCCCACCAAGUCUACGAUGGAUAGGGGUUCUGAGAGGAAGGUCCCCCACAUUGGAACUGAGACACGGUCCAAACUCCUACGGGAGGCAGCAGUGAGGAAUAUUGGUCAAUGGACGAGAGUCUGAACCAGCCAAGUAGCGUGAAGGAUGACUGCCCUAUGGGUUGUAAACUUCUUUUAUAAGGGAAUAAAGUGAGGGACGUGUCCCUUUUUGUAUGUACCUUAUGAAUAAGGAUCGGCUAACUCCGUGCCAGCAGCCGCGGUAAUACGGAGGAUCCAAGCGUUAUCCGGAUUUAUUGGGUUUAAAGGGAGCGUAGGUUGACAUAUAAGUCAGCUGUGAAAGUUUACGGCUCAACCGUGAAAUUGCAGUUGAUACUGUAUGUCUUGAGUGUACAAGAGGUGGGCGGAAUUCGUGGUGUAGCGGUGAAAUGCUUAGAUAUCACGAAGAACUCCGAUUG
rnacentral:rRNA from 1 species